UUUUUUUCCCUUGCUGGUUGCGGCGUCAUCUUACACGCAGAACAGCAGCGCGCCGCAGCCCAUUCUCCUCUCCCUCUCCGCAGCAGAGCUCCACGCCUCCACCCGAGCAGUGCAGCCGCGAGCCUCCCGUUCCUCUCUUUCUCGCAAGCACAGCGCGGCAGCCAGAGGAAGCAGCAAACGCAAUAAAACCCUAUCCGCUUUCGCUGGCAGGCAAUCUUAGCAGACGAGAUAAGCGCGUAAUCAAAAUGCUUUGUUCUCAGCAUAAAUAUACGGCCUAGUGAUCUUGAGAUUGGACGCACUUUUGCAGGCUUGUUGUGUGCCAUGGUGAUGUCAGGCUGGCGAAAAGAAACCAGGUGGUUCAUGAUAUCUGAAGCAAGCAGGUGGUGGGGCUGGUGACUAUUUGCGAAGGGUCCACAAAUAACAUAGGGGCUCCUCAUUCUAAUCAUCAAAUUACUGGAAUGGCCCCCAAAAAAAGGAAGAUGUACCCCAGUCCUGGGUCUGAAAGAAAGUCUCAAGCUCAAGAACAGAAGGAUGCCAGUGUCCGGGGGUAUGGUAUUGGCAAAGGCUUGAUGACGCUAUGGCGCAUGUCAAAUCUAUCUGAAACAUUUCCAGCUAUUGAAAAUAUACGCCUAGCAAGUACACAUAAUAAGAAGAGAAGACCAGGAAAUAAAUUAUGCAGAAAGAGGAAACAAGCUAUUCAGAAAAAAAAGGUGAGUUGCAGCCGAAAGGAAGAUAUCCACAGGGAAAUGGACUCAGCACCAUGUGAACUUGCAAUUGAAAGAUUAGAAGUGAUGGAAAGGUUUAGUAAUCCAUUACUAUUCAUGGAUGAUGAAGAGCUAGAGGUGAGAGAAUCUCGGGUAGAUCGAAACAAAAUAGCUUGCUCAGCUCGAUCAGCUUACCAUUGGAGACAUAGUUGCACUCUUUGUAAAGAUUAUUUGGGAAGAUUUCCCCCAACAUCUGUCAAUAUGAUAUAUCCUUUAGCAAUGCGGCCCUGGGAUUCUUCGCCUGAGAUGGUCAAAAAGUUGUUUAAGAUCUUUCGUUUUUUAUAUAGUCAUGCUGAUGUUGUUGACACUCCCUCCUUCACAUUGGAUGAGUUUGCUCAAGCGUUUAAGCACAAGGAUUCUUUAUUGCUUGGGGAAAUUCAUAUGUCUCUGCUCAGCCUUUUGUUGACAAGCGUUGUUAAUGAGCUUCAGAAUGGAGCUCUUUCUUUGGCUUCUAAAGAUUGUCAGUUCUAUGCAUUUCUUCAAUUUGUAAAACAACAAGAAUCUGAUAUCAUGCUGUGGAAAAAGUACCUGAAUCCUCUUAGUUGGCCUGAAAUACUUCGGCAGGUCAUGCUGGCUGCUGGCUAUGGCUCAAAGAAGAGUUCAUUACUACAAGUUCAAAAAGAUAAUCACAAGGAGCAAAAUCAGCUAUUGAAGCUUGGACUGCAACGAGGCACUUUGAAGGGGGAGUUGUUCCAUAUUUUGCAAGAACAAGGAUGCAGUGGUAUGAAAGUUUGUGAAUUAGUGAAAGCUUGUCAGAUCACUGAGAUGGAUCUUCCCAAAUCAGCUCACGAAUUGGAAGAAUCAAUACGUUCUGCUCUUUCAAGGGACAUUAAACUGUUUGAAAAGAUAUCAGCUUGUGCAUUUCGUAUUCGGUUCAACCCUUCUAGUCAGGCAACAGAACAACUGGAGUCUGAUUCUGAGGAUGCAGGGAGUGUGGAAAACAAUUCUAUCGGUUCUGAAGGUGAUGAUGCUGAGAGUGAUGAACCAGAGGAGUUGGAUUCUGCAACUGAUAAGUUUGGUAUGGUUGGCCACAUUUCUCAAAGCAGAAUUACAGGAAAAUGGAUAAUUGAUAACUCUGAAAUAGAUGAAAGUCAACCAGGGGAAGCUUGGAUGUUGGGCUUGCAGGAAGGUGACUAUGGAAAUCUAACAAUUGAAGAGAAACUGGAUGCUUUGGUGGCUCUUGUUGAUCUUACAAAUGCUGCAUUUAGUAUGAGGGCAGAGAAGUCAGUAAGGGACAAACUUCAGGGGCCUCCAAGCAUAUGGGUCCAUGGAUCAGGGGCAAAAAUAAAAAAGUCAUACCAAAGUCUCAGUCCAACUCCAUUUCAACAGCAUUGUAAUAAGAGUCUUAUGGUGGAAGCUGGUUCUUCUCAAAAGCGUUGUCCAGAUUUUGGGUUUCCUAGCAAGCACAUGUCAGACAAGAUGAAGGCGAGGAAGCGGAAAACAGUCGAGAGAUAUGGAUCAAACAAGCAUUGGAUGCAGUCUGUUUAUUUGGGGUCGGAUCGUAGGUACAAUAGUUAUUGGCUUUUUCUGGGUGCAUGUGAUUCAAAGGAUCCUGGGCACCGGAGGGUGUACUUCGAGUCAUCUGAGGAUGGUCACUGGGAGGUGAUUGACACAGACAAGGGUUUAGAUGCUCUUUUGUCUUCAUUGGAUAGUAGGGGUUUUCGGGAAGCUCAACUUCUUGCUUCUCUAGAGACACGAUUAGCCUCUCUACGCAGAGCAAUGUUAGAUGACUUGUCAGCUGAAAAUGAGAACAAGUUGGUUAAAUCUGCUACAGCUGUUACCAGUGAGAGUGGCUCCUCGCCCUUAUCAGAUGUUGACAACAACUUGGAUGUUACUCAUUCUUUUGAUGAUGGAACUGGUUUAUUGGCUCCUCAUUGUAGAAUGGAUAAUGUUGGUCACACUAGUCGCCAAAAGGAAGCAACCUCAGAUCACCGCCAAUCUUUUGAUGCAUGGGUUUGGAAAAAUUUUUACUAUAAACUUGGGUCUCUUAAAUAUAAAAGAAGCACCAAGUUGGAGUCACUUGCUCGCUGUGAAAGGUGUAAUGACCUAUAUUGGAGGGAUGAAAAGCAUUGUAUAAUAUGCCAUACUACCUUUGAGUUAGAUUUUGAUAUUGAAGAAAGGUACAUUGUUCAUGUAGCCACUUGUAGAGGAAUUGGUGAUGGUGACACAUUUCUUCAUCAUAAAGUUUUAUCAUCAGACCUACAAUCACUGAAAGCAGCCGCCCAUGCAAUUGAGGCGGUAAUGCCUGAAGAGUCCUUACUGAGUGCCUGGUCCAGGUCAGGGCAUGCACUUUGGGUCAAACGUCUGAGGAGGACAUCAUCUUUGCCUGAACUCCUGCAGGUUCUGACUGAUUUCGUGGAUGCUAUGAACAAUGAGUGGUUCUUCCAACUUGGUUUAGAUCUUGGUUCACGUACAGCUUUCAAUGAGAUUGUUAUAUUCUUUAACAGUAUACCAAGAACAGUUUCUGCUGUUGCACUCUGGUUAGUAAAAUUAGAUCAUCUUCUCACUUGUUAUCUGGAGCAAGUUCAACCUCAAAAGCCAGCAGGAGGCCGUUAAUCUCCAAAAGGAAAAUAUGCUUGUACCAUGAGAGUGUGGUGGCUUGUAUAUUCGUGGUUGCUCCAGUAAUCGUAUUCAUCCAAAUGCUGUGCUGAUGUAGAGACCUACAGACUGCUGUCUCAGCUUUGAGAAAGGUCUACUUAUUUGGUACAAGCAUCGGUUUUGGCCUUGUAUGCCAACACAUUGAUGUAUCCACAAGCUUCAAGAGAAAUAGGAACAUUGGUAGGACAAAAUGCUGCUUCAAAUUCUACUGCAAAAUUUUGACUGUUAGGAGAUGCCAGUUUGAUCCAUGGUGGUGUUUCAGCUGAACAAGCUAAGUGAGGCUUGAGGUUCGGCUGUUCGAGCUUUUGCUUGGCAUAUCAUGUACCUGGCUUGUGCUUCUUUGAAUAGAAAGGACUUCAGGACUUUAGAAUCUCGUGUGUUUGAUUUUUUAAAUACGAAAGGCCUGUCAAAGCACAAGGUUGGGAGGUGCAUCCUCUUUAAACCCCUGAUCUCAUUUAUCUCAUUUGAUUUGAUUUGUAUUCCAUACAGUAGCGGAGCCAGAAACAUUUUGCUGAGGAGCACCGAUGAGUCUCACUGGUUUACUGUGUUGGGAGCCUAUGGAGCACUAACCCAGGUCUAGUGUGGCCACCACAUUUGCAGGACCUGGGUCCAGCUCCAUUGUAUUAGAAGUUUUAAAGGGCUGGUGUGUGCAACUGCCCACACGGUAGCUCGCUACUGGUUUCACAUAAUAACAUAUCAGAGUGGCAAGAGAAAGACGAAAGUAAAUGAACUGUGAAUCGUUGAAGUGAAAAAGGAGGAACUGUUUUUGAGGCAUGUGUAUAGAACUAAGGCUGCACUGAACAGCUAAGCACAGGCUCCGCUUGAGCUUGAUCCGAGCUCGAGCUGGACCUAGAGCGCUUGUGCUAAGCUCAGAAUGGGACACAUUAUCUGUAGGCUGCUCCAACCCAGACAUUUUGUAAUACAAGUGUGUGGACCCGUCAAAAUGCUGCAUGAACUUUUUGAUGAGUUCAAAUGAGCAUCAAAUAACAAAUAAAUUCCUCUUA